rnacentral:rRNA from 1 species
CCUACGGGAGGCAGCAGUGAGGAAUAUUGGUCAAUGGGCGCGAGCCUGAACCAGCCAAGUCGCGUGAGGGAAGACGGUCCUAUGGAUUGUAAACCUCUUUUGUCGGGGAGCAAAAGACGCCACGCGUGGCGUUCCGAGAGUACCAGAAGAAAAAGCAUCGGCUAACUCCGUGCAAGCAGCCGCGGUAAUCCGGAGGAUGCGAGCGUUAUCCGGUUUUAUUGGGUUUAAAGGGUGCGCAGGCGGAAGAUCAAGUCAGCGGUAAAAUUGAGAGGCUCAACCUCUUCGAGCCGUUGAAACUGGUUUGCUUGAGUGAGCGAGAAGUAAGCGGAAUGCGUGGUGUAGCGGUGAAAUGCAUAGAUAUCACGCAGAACUCCGAUUGCGAAGGCAGCAUACCGGCGCUCAACUGACGCUCAUGCACGAAAGUGUGGGUAUCGAACAGGAUUAGAUACCCGGGUAGUC